rnacentral:rRNA from 1 species
GAUGAACGCUGGCGGCGUGCCUAAUACAUGCAAGUCGAGCGAACGGACGAGAAGCUUGCUUCUCUGAUGUUAGCGGCGGACGGGUGAGUAACACGUGGAUAACCUACCUAUAAGACUGGGAUAACUUCGGGAAACCGGAGCUAAUACCGGAUAAUAUUUUGAACCGCAUGGUUCAAAAGUGAAAGACGGUCUUGCUGUCACUUAUAGAUGGAUCCGCGCUGCAUUAGCUAGUUGGUAAGGUAACGGCUUACCAAGGCAACGAUGCAUAGCCGACCUGAGAGGGUGAUAGGCCACACUGGAACUGAGACACGGUCCAGACUCCUACGGGAGGCAGCAGUAGGGAAUCUUCCGCAAUGGGCGAAAGCCUGAAGGAGCAACGCAGCGUGAGUGAUGAAGGUCUUCGGAUCGUAAAACUCUGUUAUUAGGGAAGAACAUAUGUGUAAGUAACUGUGCACAUCUUGACGGUACCUAAUCAGAAAGCCACGGCUAACUACGUG